CACCGGAUUGAAGUAACUGCGCCAUGGUGCCAUCUUUAAAGCGAGCUAAUGUUGUCUAUAUUAGUGGUGAAUGGUUAACAUGGUAGCAGGUCGGCUAACUCGGAUGGGAUCUAGGAAAGUGGGGCCUCCAGAAACCCAAAGGCCUUCCAACAAUCUCUGUACACCAGCUGGAAUAAGUCUAUAGUUAUGAGUCUUUAUUUUACCAGUGGUUGUGAAACUUACCUGUGGUUUGUCGUGGUAUUUCAGUAUAACGGGACCUCGACUUCCACCUCAGUAUGUUUGCUACAGCAUUUUAAACCAUGGAGGGUCGUGAUAGUAUAGAGAUGGUUUCUACUUUAAUGAGGUUUAGAUAUUCUUUACAGUGUCUUUGUGCAGAAGUUAAAGUAGAUUUGAUUUUGCUCACCAUAGAUAGGUAUAUUGUGUAUUUAAUUAUGUGUCCGGGUGUGGUGCUUUCUGAAUUAUUACAAACUACACAAGUGUGCAAUAACUAUUUCAAACCACUAAAUGAAUUCACUGAGCAACUUAAAUCUCCUGUGAAGAGUCGUUAACUAGUUAUGAAACAGACUGAUAUGAGUAUUUGUGUCUUUUUGGGAUAGAUAAAGCAAACAAACUAUGAACAAGAAGGGUGAUAUGGCCAGUAUAGUUACUUGUAAUGUCUGAAAGCUAAACCUAAAUUGAGGAGAAGGUGUCAGAUCAAGCAAUCAACUGCAUAUCGCUGGCAUACAUGAGAUAAGAUUGUCGAUAUCCAGUUCCUCAGAUGAGCUUUAAGCAUGCGGGGUAUUUUGAUAGUUUGGGGAAGUGUGAUGGAAGAAACCUACACAAUGAACACUUUGGCAAUCAAGUGUGAUCCAUCACGACAGCUCUACCAUUAAUUCUUCCACAUUUUCAAUUUUUGUUGAUAUAAUCAGAUAGAUGAAUUCGUUUUUGAAGUUAGUGGGUGUUGGCGGUGUACUGGAGAAGUACCUAAUAUUUUAAUCUCCUUACAUUUGUUGUUAGAACACCUUUCAGUGUAACACACUCCAGUACACCACCACCAUCCACUACCUCUUUAGUAAUAAAUAGACAGUAUAAGAGUCCCUGUCUGAUUAUGUCAACCAAAACUGAACAUUGAGAAGUUCAGUAAUAUUUGUGGUAAAGCUGUUGUAUUGGACUACAUUAUAUCGACCAUUAUAUUCUUGCUGGUCGAUGUGAAUAGUUGGCUGUAGGAAUAUAGGUAUGUGUUGAAGUUAAAAUCGUGUCUUCAUUGUCUUGAAGUCUUUUGGAAAUAACUAUUAUAACUCGUAGAAGUGUUUUAAAAUCCAUGUGCUGUCUUUCAAGGUAUUCACUGUAAAGACAAACCAAGUGUAUUUGUAUACCAAGCUUAUAUUCAAAACAGACAAUUAUGAUAAUGCAAGGACAACCUAGGAAGGUUUAAAUAACUAAUAAGAGCUUUUGUGGAUUAAAUGCAGUUUAGGAAUUCCUUUUAGUUAAUAUCACUCGACUAAUGUUAAAAACUUGCUCUCUGAUCCGACUUGAAAGCAACUCCACUAAUUUCAAACUAUGAUUUAUUUCAUUUUAUGCUCUGAAGUAAUGCAAUAUUAGGUUUAAUCCGUCUAAUUGUUGAUUAUUUUUUUUUUUUUUAAACAAAAGUAAAUAUUCUGCUCCUGUUAUCGAGGACGACAAACCUUGUGUAUUUAGCCAGUAAAACUUUCUAUAUGUGUUAUGUGGUGAGGUUGAAAUCAAAAGAUUUAGUGUGAGUUAUCAGUCAUUCACAGACUCACUGUGGCUUUGUGCCAUCCCACAUAUCCUACAGAAUGCAAAACACAGCAAAUAUCUCAUUAACUUUGGUCUGGUCUGGGUAGAGAGGGCGUCCUCCCUUAAUUUUGUCUCCUCUCCAGCCCUCUCUUAGAUCAGCGUGAUCCCAGGAGGAUGGGUGUGUUGGGCUGCUGAAGAGCACAAGUAGCCUAGUUCUGUUUCAGAACAGCUUUUUCAUGGUUGUGGACUGGAGUACACCAUUGGUGCAGACAUUUUUAUCAACUUUGACAGUCAAAGGGUAAUAUAGUAUGACUUUCAUUCCUUAAGCUUUUGCAGAAUUAGCUGUUUGUUAUCAUGUUUCAUAGACUGUCAGGGAAAGAACUGAACAUGACUCAAGCUUUUACUUAGUACGAAAUAGUUGGGUCUUCUUUCAGAGUGUUUACCUGCAAAAAAAAGGUCAACCAUACUGAACAAUUAUCCAUUUUGGACAGCUCCAAAAGUGUCUUUGAUCUCUGAUUCAGUACACACAUUGCAGCCAUAUUUCUGGGAUGUCACACCUAAAGUGGAAAUGCUUUCACCAUGUCCAACUGUUGAAGGUUAGGGGUUGACCAGGAUUGUUUUUUUAAGGCUGUUAAAGAUUAUUAGCAUUUCAUCAGAUUUUAUAUUUAAAAGACAUAUGCACUGACAGAAGAAGUGAAAAACUCUGUCAAAAUUUGGAAUAUAAGAUAUUACAAACACCUACACAAAACUUUGUGCAAAUGCCAAAUCAAUCCAUAUAUUGAAAGUAACAUUUUACCAGAUACACUUACAGUACAGUUCGCUACACAGUUAAACGGGUGACUUCUGGCCAAUCAGACAGUGUGUGUAUGUAUCUAUGUAUUUAUUAAUUUACAUUGCCUUGAGGGAACCUUCCUAAAAGGAUAAAUCAAGUUGAAUCUAAUCUUAUCUAAUGUAAUCUAGUGUUGUGGGUGGGACAGUAAGUGAGAAAAAGUCAUGCAAGAAAACAGACCCAGAGGGAAAGACAUACAGCUAAUCAGCCUAAUGCUCGUAUUUACCUCUGUGAUCAGCCAAGGUUGAUAAUUGGUCUGCCCCUAUUAGAAGAAGUAAAUCACAGCUAAUAUCUGUAUUAGACAUGAUCCAAGAGGUACAAAGAAUCACAAUAGAUAAACUCCACCAUUGUUUGGCACAUACAUAAUCUGCUGAUAGAUUGAAAAUGUAUCAUAUUAUUUAAAAAACUUGCAUUUAUAUCUAUUUAUAUGUAUAUUAAUGCAAGUUUUGAUGAAAUUUCCCCACAGAAAAGGGGCACAACGUGUCUAUUUACUUAGUAGCCAUAAACCAGCUUCUUGGUAGCGAACGGCUCUGUGACUCUUCUCCCCACUCUCACAGUGUCUCCGUAUAUUUUGAAAGUAACAGCAGGUGUUGCAUGGUACAGUCAGAAGCUUUACACACAGUCUGCAGCAGUGCACAGCUGUACAAUUUGUGGUGUUACUCAAAGUCUGCGAUACAAAGCUGUUAUUGGUUCUACAACUCAAGAUAUCAUCCAUAAAAACGUGCUAUACAGGGUUUUGGUCGACUGACACAAAACAUUCUGCAAAAGUAAUCUGUGCAAAGAUAGGAUUCUUUCAGAUUUUUCAGCUCUUAAAGGUGACCUGUGCAUCAUACCAUCAAAAAAGAAGAAAUAAUGUGAAUUUUGGGACAUUAAUAGGCUAAAAUAUGACAAUACCUUUCAAGUCUUCAUACUAACAUGCAUCCAUCUUAAACUUGGCAUGUUUUAAAGUGGCAUCAGUGAGUCAUGUUAGUCGUACAUGUUGAUAAUCAGGCUGUGCAUACAUGUAAAAAAACACAGUUCUUUAUCAGCCGCAAGCCAGGCUUUGUGAAACGGAGUGACAGUUUGGUGAUGGCUCGGCAUGUUUUUGUAACAACCAACCACAAUCCAGCUUUUAAUGACAAUCACAUCCCUGGUUAUUGGAGUUGUGGCACUGUUUACACUGUUAAAGUUGAAGUUGUAACUCUUCAUUCGUUGAGAUGCGUUGUGAGUCAUUGUGGCCGAAAUAUGCAGUCACAGACAUGGCGAAGACAAGAGUAGAAUAGUUCCAAGUAGGAAUGUGAGUUGUAUUAGUAUUAUCUGCAAAUGAUCUGAUCUGAUGGUGUGGAGGAGGGUAGAAAAAGUUUGAAUCCUUUCACUCUCCUUUUGUGAUUUCAGUGGCUGAUCAAUAGUGAAAUGAUGAUACGGUAUGAUGAUAAAAUUCUGAAGGACAACAUUUUCCCACCCUUUGAAUUUUCCAGUCUCAGCAUGAUGUGAAAUAAAAAUGGCCACCCUGUAAAUGAGGCGAAUAAGAGGUACAGAUACAGCCAAACUAUGGAGAGCAUGUGGCAGAUAAGAGCUGUUGUAAAUCAUAAAUGCCUGCUUCAUUGAGGUCCUUUUUUUUCAUGCUAGGUUAAAGUUCUGGAUCCAGCAAUUCAUUAUCAGUUGAUUGUAAAGCUGUCAAGAUGUCUUUGAGUCUAUCAUUAGUGAGCUUAAACCCACUUAAUUAAUUGGAUGCCAUUAUUUAAAUUGAUUUAAUUCAAAACAACACUGUCAGGACAAUGUUAUCGUCACAUUAAUUACAGAUUUUUUCACAUUUAGGUGUCUGCCUUUUCUCUAAGCCAGUGGUUCUCAAGUUCAAUCCUCGAGGCCCACUGUGCUGCAUGUUUUGGAUUUUUCCCUGUACCAACACACCUGAUUCAAAUGAUCAGCUCGUUAUCAAGCUCGGUAAUGGCUUACUAACGAGCUGAUCAUUUGAAUCAGGUGUGUUGGAGCAGGGAAACAUCCAAAACAUGCAUGACAGUGAGCCUCGAGGACUGGACUUGAGAACCUCUGGUUUAGGAUACUCUUGCACUCUGUGACCAAGAGGUGAGGGCGCUAAAUAAUAUUCAAUUAAUGCUAUUACUGUCCAGCACUAUGGGAGAGAGGGAGAAUUCCACAGAUAGACAAAGUCUGCAGAAAACUUUUACUUUCAGUCUUUGGGAGGAUUUACAGUCUUGCUUCCUUUACUGCGCCAGACCUAUCCUGAUAAAGCAGUAACAUUGCAUCGGUGCUGUAAUUGCUGUUAAAAAUAUAAACCCACCAAGUGUUGUCCUUGGAAAGAGAGUUUUUCAUGAAAACAUCGUCAGGCUCUGACCAGGGCUCGGGGCAGUGUGGAAUAUUGGGCUUAAGCUGCCGCUUCAUUGUUAAAUAUGCUUGAAAAACCCUGCAUUACUAGUCAACCACCAGUCACGGUAUUUGCGUGUUUCAGAGAGAAAGAGGGGGAAAACGUUUUUAGCACAACUAUUAUAUUUUACUUAACAAAAGGGCCCAAAGUUACUUAUGUAGUAAUUUUGAAGUUACACAGCUUAAAUAACUGUCGCAAAUGGUCACAACUUCUAGCCGUUGUGUAUAACUUUGAGUAAAAAUGUGUUUUUGUUUAGGUGUGGAAACAGAUACAGGAUUAUGAGCAGUUUUUCCCAGAUAAAAUUGGCUUCAAGUUAUAUUGAGCUCUUGAUGCUCAUCUGAUAAAACUUUGAUUGUCUUGUAGGUUUGGGAGUUCAACCCAAAUGAUUGUACAAGGAAUGAAGAAGAAAAGUUGCAUGAUAUGAGCCCACUAAAUGGAAUCAAACCUGAAUGAUUUGACUCACUCUGCAGUUCAAUGCAGGAUGAAGAAAUUAACCAAGAGAUGUGCUGCAGUAGAAGCUGACGUUAUUAUAUUAAUUAACAAAGCUCCUAAAAGUCACUGGAACUCCACGUGAUAAAUUUAGGAAAUUUACUCUGCAUCAGUUACGACCACAUGUAAUGCGCAUUAGUAGAAACUCAGAUUUGUGUUGUAGGGAAGAGUUUGUGUCUUCAGGAUCUCAAUGAGUGUCUGGGACUUGACUUCGAUCUUUCAAGAAUAAGAACUUUAUUUAUCCCUGAAGGGAAAUUCAAUUGUCUGUCGUCUCAUUUGUCAUGUCUCUAGAAGUCAUCUACUAUUUAUAGUAGAGUUAUGAAGUCUGAUGGCAGUGGGUACAAAAGAUCUUCUGAAUCUUUCUGUCCUGCAGUGAAAAGAGAGGAUCCGUCCACCACCAUUGGCCCUUUGGCCCAUCACAGUGUUAUGAAGUUGGUGAUCCAUGUUCUUUAGGAUAGUCUCCACCUACCUUGGUGUAGAUCUCUCCACUACAUCCUCCACUGAGUCCAAAUUGAAUCCAGCCACAGAGCCAGCUUUUUUCACCAGUUUGUUAAGACUAGGGCCCGACCGAUACAGGUUUUUUGGGGCCGAUACCAAUUGUUAGGGAGGAAAUAAUCCGAUUACCGAUUAAUCGGAUGGUUUUAAAAAAAUUUAAUAAAGUUUUAAAAAAGAUUUAAUUUUAAAACUUGAUUAAAUAUGUAAUAUUCCACGUAUUUAUCAUGAAUCAAACUCAAAUUAUAUAAGCUGUUAGAGUUAGAAGAGGUGACCCAUACUGUGCUUUGACAUUCAAGAUUUGUCAUUGUUAGGGAGGGGCGAUAAAUUUUCAUUCACGAUAUAUCAUGAGAAAAAUCCUCCAUGAUAAAUAUUUGCCAUAUCAUGAUAAAUAGGAUAAAUGCAAGUUGAUGACAUAAGCGCAAGUGACAGACUCGCAGCCAUAGCCCACACAGAGCAGAAUAACAAAUAAACAUGGCUGAAGGUAAUGAAGAAGAGGUUUCGGAGCAGCAGGUUACUGAACGAGGCUCCACAUGAGGGAUUUCCUUCAAGAUUGGGGCUUAGAUGAGAGCAAUCAGGUAUGCCUGACACCGGACAGUGGAUCUGCUGCUGUUAACUCUGUGCAAUAAGAGUUUUCAACAAAUGUUUGAAAUGUUUUCACAUUUGAGACUUGAUCGAUGUCAUAGGUUUUCUCCAUAACCUACCACUCAAUCUUGUGGUUGAGUAUCUUAUUUGACUUUUCCAACUGGUGUUCUCAAGAUGAAAUGAGUCAAAAAUAUAGAUUGGAGUUAUAAUAUAUUUUUAUUAGGACUUUCAUUGUUAUCGCCAGAAUUGCAAAGUCUGUGGUUAAUUUCAUCAGGAGGAACAUACCAAAUGCUAAUGGGAGUGUUGUCAGAGCACCCCCGUUUCACAGGUAACAGCAUGUCUCAGAACACCCCCCUUGUUUUCACCGUUUUGGUGAAAGCCACUGAUUAGUUGCAUUUUGGUGGAAAUUUCACGGUUUUAGUCGACCAUUUCUUUGGUUGAUUAUAGCCCUAGUUCCUACACUGAAAUAAAAUUAUCUAGACAGUUGAAAUAAAUAAUCUUUGUUAAGGGUUUUGUGUAGCUCUGAAGCCAGGAGACGUAUCAGAUAAUGAAAGCUCUGUAUCAAACAGAGACACCUCAUUCCUCUGAUAAUAUUCAAGAUGCCUACAGCCCUGAUUAUUCACUGAGCCCAAAGUUUUUGGAUUUUAAUUUAUUCAAGAUAAAACUGACUGGCAUGAUGUCAGUCCCUGGGACACCUGAAGUUCCUCUCGUAGUGUGUAUCUGUGUCAUAAUCUGAUGAUCACAGAGCUCGAGACUCAAAGUUAAAGGUUUUCAUACAAUGAAAGAUGUUGCUUUCUCUGAAGUGCUGUAAGACUGAAUCUGGAAUCAUUUUCUUCCACCUGCAGCACUUUUCCUAACACCUUCUCCAUUACCGCUGCAUCUACUGGUGCAUCCCAGAAUAUCCUGUUGUGUUUCGGGAGCACUAUGCAAUAAUCAACAUUUGAUGCUUGCAUACUGGAAUGUCACACCUUUUUUUUUUUUUUUUUUUUUUUGCCUCUUUCACAUUUUUGUAAUUUAGUGCAUCACAUAUCAGUCGGCAUCAUUGACACAAUAAAAGUAAAUUCAAAGAAAAAGUAUAAAUGUAUUUAUGUCACUUAUUGGAGGAAGUGACUGAGUGUACCACUAAAAGGCUGUUACCACACUUACAAAUGUUCUCCGAAUAAAUUAGUUAACCAGACCACUGGCUAUAAAUGCACUUUUACAUGCCGGCGUGACUUAUACUCCAGGAUUUAUGGUAAUUAAGGGUGCAGCUUGUCUGUACCAUAGACUGUAUAUAGAAUGGACGCCAUCUGCCUCCUCGCUGGGCGAAGCCACCACGAGAACAGCACCCUCAGGUGACGGGCUGCAGUAUAGGUCAUAAAUCCCGCCUCCUCCAGCAAUCCCUAUGGAGCUGUGGACGAACUUUAGAAAUUAACUACACAGAAUAUAAACUUUUCUCCCCCCUGCUUGCGAUGUUGACAUGUAGUUGCUGUAAGACUGGUUUGUGUUCAAGUCCUCUCUUUUCUGUACAACUCC